rnacentral:rRNA from 1 species
CCUACGGGUGGCAGCAGUGAGGAAUAUUGGUCAAUGGGCGUAAGCCUGAACCAGCCAAGUCGCGUGAAGGAUGAAGGCCCUAUGGUUUGUAAACUUCUUUUAUAAAGGAAUAAAGUGAGGCACGUGUGCAUUUUUGUAUGUACCUUAUGAAUAAGCAUCGGCUAACUCCGUGCCAGCAGCCGCGGUAAUACGGAGGAUCCGAGCGUUAUCCGGAUUUAUUGGGUUUAAAGGGUGCGUAGGUGGGUUUUUAAGUCAGCUGUGAAAGUUUGAGGCUCAACCGUAAAAUUGCCGUUGAUACUGGCAGACUUGAGUAUGUUUGAGGUAGGCGGAAUGCGUGGUGUAGCGGUGAAAUGCUUAGAUAUCACGAAGAACUCCGAUUGCGAAGGCAGCUUACUAAGC